rnacentral:pre_miRNA from 1 species
AAGGAACAGAACGAUGAUUCUGGCUUCGGUGCUGGGGAGCGGACCCCGGAGUGGGCCACCCCUCCGGCCUCUCUUGGGGCCCGCACUCUCGCUCCGGGCCCGCUCCAC